GACGAACCGUGCGAACGUUGUUCGGAUUCACUGGGCUUAAAGGGCGCGUAGGCGGGUGAUCAAGUCCGGGGUGAAAUCCUUCAGCUCAACUGGAGAAUAGCCUUGGAUACUGGUCGCCUCGAGGGAGGUAGGGGCGGGCGGAACUUCCGGUGGAGCGGUGAAAUGCGUAGAUAUCGGAAGGAACGCCGGUGGCGAAGGCGGCAUCCUGGACCGACAUUGACGCUGAGGAGCGAAAGCUAGGGGAGCAAACGGG
rnacentral:rRNA from 1 species